AUUGAACGCUGGCGGCAGGCCUAACACAUGCAAGUCGAGCGGAGCGGCGGACGGGUGAUUAAUGCCUAGGAAUCUGCCUGGUAGUGGGGGAUAACGUCCGGAAACGGGCGCUAAUACCGCAUACUAUCAGAUGAGCCUAGGUCGGAUUAGCUUGUUGGUGUGGUAAAGGGUCACCUAGGCGACGAUCCCUAGCUGGUCUGAGAGGAUGACCAGCCAUGCUGGAACUGAGACACGGGCCAGACUCCUACGGGAGGCAGCAGUGGGGAAUAUUGCACAAUGGGCGCAAGCCUGAUGCAGCCAUGCCGCGUGUAUGAAGAAGGCCUUCGGGUUGUAAAGUACUUUCAGCGGGGAGGCGUUACCCGCAGAAGAAGCACCGGCUAACUCCGUGCCAGCAGCCGCGGUAAUUC
rnacentral:rRNA from 1 species